rnacentral:lncRNA from 1 species
AAUCACUGGCGCGCACGGAGCAGCUGUACCUGCGCCCACAUGGGCUGAGAGACAGGGACGGUUAUAGCCAUCUCGCGUCCAUCUGGAACGCCCCACGUGGACUUCCCCUGAAAUAGCUACUGUCUUCCUCUCCCCUAGCUAUCGAACACUAAAAGCAUAUUUGAAGCCUGAUUAAUUGAUUAUGGCUUCCAUGCAUUUAAUUAGUCCAUCAGCAAAGAAGACAGGACAAGUUGAACCAGGUUCUAAAAGGGGCAAAUCUAGUAAGUAGAGAGAGGUAGAGCAGAAAAGGAAUUGAAACCAAAACAAAAAGUAUACUUCUAAUUAUGAAUUAAGAUUUACAGGCAUAAUACCAUAAAAUGACCUGGUAGAAUUAACAGUUAAUAAUGGUGACUCAAUCAUAGUUGGAGGAGAAAUGUAGUUUAUCCACCUUAGCCCACCUCCAGUUGGGGUUCCUUUGAAAACAGACCUCAAUUGAGAUGUUUCUGUUUUAAAAGACAGGCUAAAAACCUCCUCUCCCAUAACAAUGUCUCACCUUCUAGUCUUGCAUUGCUUCUGUUCAAGCUCUUUUCAAGUUAUUUUCUCCACCACAAUUCUCUUGUGUGGACUUUAUUAUUGUGUGCUUAGCACAAUGCAUAGCACAUGAGAGCACUCAAUUAGUUGAACUGAAUCCUGUGACUACCUCCCUACCACCAUUCCCCCUACCACAGAUUUUUAGUUUAUUUAUUUAUUUAUUUAGAGACGGAGUUUUGCUCUUGUUGCACAGGCUGGAGUGCAAUGACACCAUCUCGGCUCACUGCAACCUCUGCCUCCCACGUUCAAGCAAUUCUCCUGGCUCAGCCUCCCGAGUAGCUAGGAUUACAGACUCCUGCCACCAUGCCUGGCUAAUUUUUUGUAUUUUUAGUAGAGACGGGGUUUCACCGUGUAGGCCAGAUUGGUCUCAAACUCCUGACCUCACAUGAUGUGAUCUACCCACCUCAGCCUCCCAAACUGCUGGGAUUACAGGCAUGAGCCACCACCCCCAGCCUAGUUUAUUUUUGGUUAUAUCAGUUUUCUUAAAGUGAACGUCAUCUUUACCAAGUCCCUAAAUUAGGUUACUGUUUAUUCAAUGAACAAAACAUCGAAAUAAGAUGAAAUUAAUGAUCUUAAGCACUACUUUUACAUAUUAUAGUAACAUUCAUCUUUUCUCCUAAUUUGAUCAUUAGAUUAAGUGCAAUAAAACCUUUGAAACUGGUGCCAUAUUGCCACAAAUCUGGGAUUCUUACCCCGAUCUUGUAGCAGACAGCCUAGUAUUUCCCUUUUGAGUUUUACCUUUAUGUUGUCUGAGAACCUCGGGGACUUACUCCAUCUAAAGAUAGCCCAUCCUCUUUCUAAGGCCAUGCUGAAACAGAAUUGGAUUCUAUUAAUAAUACUUCUCAUGGACAUAAGGUAUUACUCAAAAAUUCAUGCUGCCCAGCUCCAAUGACACUUGUCCACCCUGAGAUGAUCUUCUUGCUUGUCCAGGUUCCUGCAAAGACCACAGUGAUAUUCAUAUUUAGACUUCUAGCUUGGCCUCUUUACCUAUUCAGUCAUUGUCCCAAAAAUUACAGUGCAAUUGAAUAAAUCUUUUGCUGAGGUCUGAACUAAGGGAGUGACAGUAUCCACUGUUUUCUUCCCUGGUGACAUGUACUAAUUCUGGGCAUAGACUCAUCCAGCUUGGCCUGGGCAGAGGGAGUUUACACAGAAAAAGAGAAACCAGUGAGAUGUUUAACCAUCAUGUGAGCUGUGAAAUGGAUUGGAAAUAUAGAGGAGCCCCAAACAUAUAGCCAGUUUUCCCACAGGACAUUCGCUGAGUUCUGGGGUGGUGCAGGAGGCUGAGCAGCUGGGCGUGAUAGGCAGAGUAAAAUUACCCCAUAUUCUACUGCAUAGAAAGCUAAUUCUGCUUAGAAGGAUCCUGCCUCAAAUACACAAGCAUUCUCCCCC